rnacentral:tRNA from 1 species
CGGCGUGUAGCUCAGUGGUAGAGCGCUCGCUCAGCAUGCGAGAGGUCCUGGGAUCGAUGCCCAGCUCGUCCA